GAUGAACGCUGGCGGCGUGCCUAAUACAUGCAAGUCGAGCGAACAGACGAGGAGCUUGCUCCUCUGACGUUAGCGGCGGACGGGUGAGUAACACGUGGAUAACCUACCUAUAAGACUGGGAUAACUUCGGGAAACCGGAGCUAAUACCGGAUAAUAUCUUGAACCGCAUGGUUCAAUAGUGAAAGACGGUUUUGCUGUCACUUAUAGACGGAUCCGCGCCGCAUUAGCUAGUUGGUAAGGUAACGGCUUACCAAGGCAACGAUGCUUAGCCGACCUGAGAGGCUGAUCGGCCACACUGGAACUGAGACACGGUCCAGACUCCUACGAGAGGCAGCAGUAGGGAAUCUUCCGCCAUGGGCGAAAGCCUGACGGAGCAACGCCGCGUGAGUGAUGAAGGUCUUCGGAUCGUAAAACUCUGUUAUUAGGGAAGAACAAAUGUGUAAGUAACUAUGAACGUCUUGACGGUACCUAAUCAGAAAGCCACGGCUAACUACGUG
rnacentral:rRNA from 1 species